CCUCGGGAGAGCCGUCCCACAGGUUGACAGAGGGCUGUUCACAGAAGAGGGCAGGAGUAACCAAGGAGAACCAAAUCCUAGCCGGUGGGAGAGGUGGGGGAUUGCAAAAGUCCUUGGAGCCCGGCCAGGACGUGGGUUAGAGGUUAGAAGUGCCAUGGGUGCUCUUGUUCUGACAGCAGAGUGACGCCUGAGGUGUCAUGCCCUCCUGCAGGGCUCACAGCUUCCCGGAAUCUGAGCAGCAGCUGAGCAGCUGGGUACACAAACAUCUCCCAUCCAGCCCACGAGUUCCCAGGCCCGUCCCCCUUUGCCAUCUCGCCACAUUCCAACUACACAGCAGGGACACACUUCUCCAGAAAUACAAAAGCAUGAGUCCAUUGGGGAAAAAGAAUAUACAGGACUGUUUUACAGUGUAACCGUCUAUCAAUGCCAUGUGGGAUGCUGCUGAAAGAAUUUUGGAACAACUGUGAGACUUUUUGGAUGCUCAAACACUGAAUGAGUCAAAAAAUCAUCUGUGUCCUACAGAGAAACAUUUUAGAAAACAAAGCAAUUGGCUUCUAGCAACAUGAUGUAACCUUGGUUUUUCCUCCCCCUAUUGUAAGUGCAUCUCUGGGUGUUUGCUUUUAAAGCUGUAUCCAUUAAUAAUGUGCCUCUAUAUUUAUUUAGAGAUAUGUCAAACAAGGAGUGCUUAUCCGUAGCUCCAGGCAACCCAACAAUUUUAAUACAUAAACAGCUAUAUAAAUGAGUCUCAUAAUUGUCCAACAAAAGCUUCAGCAACAAAGAACCCCAUAAGCACACCGUCUCUGCUCAGGAUGCUCAAAAUUCGGCAUCCACUUCAGCAGCCAAGGAGAACAAAUAAGCUUUCCAAGGGAACCGGCUCGGGUUAUUACAGAUCAAACAGAGGAACAAGUUGUUUGCCUUUCCUUAACUUAAAAAAAAAAACAACCCACAAAUGGAAAAACAUGGGCCAGUUUUUCAAGCAAGCUCGGCACGUUGCCUGCCUAAAUUACACUUACAUGCAAGUGCAUGCAAAUGUGUUGUUUCCCUGGUCAUGUGCCUGAACUGCAUCCACAUUUUCCUCAAAUGCCUUCUGGAACGUGACAGGACAUGCACGAGCAACCUCCCCAUCCCUUCAGAAACCAGAGCAUGGGCAUGCUGGUGGGAGCAGAGGAAACACCUGCAUUCCUCCACAGCACAAAUGCAGCCAAAAUAAUGAUGAGUCUGAAAAAAGCCCGACCGAAGGCAAAGGUCAGCUUGCUGGGACAUUGUGGAGCAGAGGGGGCUCGGCUUGGCAGGAGAGAGCCUUAUGCCCUUGUGCUUUUAAAUGUAUUUUCCUGCAGGAGAUGGGGAAAAAAGCCAAAUAAAAAUAAGCAAACAUUUUCAGCUUCUGCUGCAGUUCUGUAGAGGGGUGGCUAAACACUGCUGGCGAUAGCUCAGCCCCCAUCAGAGCCUGCUGCUGUAUCCCUUCCAGAGAGAUGGAGUCUGCCUGCCACUGAGGCAAUGGAGGUGCCCAGCAGGGCACAACAUGCCACCUCUGUGUCUCAGGCAAGCAGCUGUGCCCCUGUGCAGUGCUUUGUGCCAAGCCUGCUCCAGUGAAAACCCAAACAAUGCACUUGCUGAAACCUUGCAGGACCUACUGUGCACAUCCCCCGAACGUGAAAUACCAAUGGUGAGAUGUGAGGUCCUGCUUUUUCCCCUCGGGGAGUUGGUGCUGAUCUCUCAGUUGGACAUCACCCACCCCACACAGGGGACUGAGGGAAGGCACUAAAGGCACCAAAGGCGGUUCAGCUUCCAUACCUGCUUUUCUCUUCCUUCAUGGGAGUUACACACAAAAGAAUCAUAUGAGAGGGCCACAAGAGACAAGGGUAAGAAAAGCUUCAGUAGUUCAGCUUAGACAUAUGGGGUUUUUAAUCCUCCUCCCUCUGUCUGUCAGAUGCUCAAAGGAAAAAAUAAAGUGCUUGGACAGGCCAGUUUGGUGUGAGUCCCUGUCCCUCCCUUCCUGCUCUCCCUCACUGCAGCACAAGAGGAAAAACACUUGAAAGGCUAGGGGUGGCCUCAAGGAUGUCUGCUUUGCCUCCACUCAUGCCACUCUUUUCCUUUUGUAUCUUUUCUAACAUCCAAAGAGGAAAAAGGCAGGACCAUGUCCUGCACCCAGGUGCCUUUCUCACACACACACAGACAAGCACAUUCCCAUUGAAAACAAGACGGCAGUGCAUUGAACUUGUCCCUGAAUGUAACCCUUCUGGCUUGAACAGCCCUGCUGGCUCCUGCCCUGGGCAAGGUUUCAGUUUCCCUGUGGCUUGAUGACGCGAUUUGGGCAGGAUUUAUGAGGCUUACAAAAAAACACAAUUAAAUCUAAGGGGCAAUGAAGGGGAUUUUUUUCCUUCUUUUUUUUUUCCUCCCUUUUCAUUGCUUGCUUCUAGGACUAAGGCGAAAGUUGAAUUGGCAGAAGCUGGCUGUGUUGGCUGGAGCCUGAAUUUCUAGCCAAAGAUGUUUUCUCCAAGUCUAGUUAAAUUAAUUUCCUUGAUUUUUUCAAACAUUUUCUUUGCUCUAAGUGACUGAGAAGCCAUUGAUAUUUCAGUUGAGGAGCAAUCAAAAUACAGGACCUGAAGGGCCAAAGCCAUCUCUGCUGUAAAUGUGGUGUCUGGCACUGCAGCUGCCACCGCUGAGGGAAACAGCUGAGGUGGACAUCCUGGAAGAUAAAGCAGGUAGGGAGAAGAAGCCAGGUUGGGACUGAAAUAUCCCCUCUGCUUCCAAGAGAUAAAGAGCCAUCCCUUUGGGAAGAGACCCAGUCAGGUCCCUGUCUGACCCUGAAGGCUCGAAGACUGGAUGUACCCAAAUCCAACAGAGAGGAGCAUGACCUCCACUGGAAACCACACAUGCUGGAAAAGAAAAAGCCCGUGUCCCAGCUUUGUGCUUUGAGUCCUGUUCAAUAAAUAAUAACAGAAUAUGCUGGAA